rnacentral:rRNA from 1 species
GAUGAACGCUAGCUACAGGCUUAACACAUGCAAGUCGAGGGGAAACGAUAUUGGAAGCUUGCUUCCGAUAGGCGUCGACCGGCGCACGGGUGAGUAACGCGUAUCCAACCUGCCCAUCACUUGGGGAUAACCUUGCGAAAGUAAGACUAAUACCCAAUGAUAUCUCUAGAAGACAUCUGAAGGAGAUUAAAGAUUAAUCGGUGAUGGAUGGGGAUGCGUCUGAUUAGCUUGUUGGCGGGGUAACGGCCCACCAAGGCUACGAUCAGUAGGGGGUCUGAGAGGAAGGUCCCCCACAUUGGAACUGAGACACGUGCCAAACUCCUACGGGAGGCAGCAGUGAGGAAUAUUGGUCAAUGGGCGAGAGCCUGAACCAGCCAAGUAGCGUGCAGGAUGACGGCCCUAUGGGUUGUAAACUGCUUUUAUAAGGGAAUAAAGUGGGAGUCGUGACUCCUUUUGCAUGUACCUUAUGAAUAAGGACCGGCUAAUUCCGUGCCAGCCGCCGCCGUAA